rnacentral:tRNA from 1 species
GCCUUGCCUUGAUGGUGAAAUGGUA